rnacentral:rRNA from 1 species
AGUGAACGCUGGCGGUAGGCCUAACACAUGCAAGUCGAACGGCAGCACAGUAAGAGCUUGCUCUUACGGGUGGCGAGUGGCGGACGGGUGAGGAAUACAUCGGAAUCUACUUUUUCGUGGGGGAUAACGUAGGGAAACUUACGCUAAUACCGCAUACGACCUACGGGUGAAAGCAGGGGAUCUUCGGACCUUGCGCGAUUGAAUGAGCCGAUGUCGGAUUAGCUAGUUGGCGGGGUAAAGGCCCACCAAGGCGACGAUCCGUAGCUGGUCUGAGAGGAUGAUCAGCCACACUGGAACGUGGACACGGUCCAGACUCCUACGGGAGGCAGCAGUGGGGAAUAUUGGACAAUGGGCGCAAGCCUGGUCCAGCCAUACCGCGUGGGUGAAGAAGGCCUUCGGGUUGUAAAGCCCUUUUGUUGGGAAAGAAAAGCAGCAGGUUAAUACCCCGCUGUUCUGACGGUACCCAAAGAAUAAGCACCGGCUAACUUCGUG